GCCGACGUAGCUCAGCUGGUAGAGCACUUCACUCGUAAUGAAGGGGUCGGGAGUUCGAGUCUCCCCGUCGGCU
rnacentral:tRNA from 2 species